rnacentral:lncRNA from 1 species
UUCCCUCACGCACCCCAAACCCUGCUCCUCCAUCGCCACAGGGUCCCCCCUCAGGACCACCCUUCCCUCCGGGACCCCUAACCCAGCUCCUCCAUCCCCGCAAGGUCCCCCCUCAGGACCACCGUUCCCUCAGAAACCCCAAGGCUCUGCUCCUUGCCACAGGGACCCCGGUGAACGCCACCGUUCCCUCACGCACCCCCAAACCCAGCUCCUCCAUUGCCGCAGCGUCUCCUCUCAGCACCACCAUUCCCUCAGGCGCCCCAAGGCUCUGCGCCUCAUCGCCACAGCGCCCCAAAGCCAGCUCCUUGAUGCCACAGGGACCUCUCUGGGCACCACCGUUCCCUCAGGCACCCCAAGACUUGGCUCCCCAACACAGGGACCCCUCUGAACACCACCAUACCCUCAGGCACCCCCAAACCCAGCCCCUCCAUCGCCACAGCGUCCCCUCAUCACCACAGCGUCCCCCCUCAACACCACCAUUCCCUCAGGCACCCCAAAACCCCACACCUCAACGCCAUGGGGUCUCCUCACUGCCCCAGGAUCUCCUCUUGGCAUCAUCGUCCCCUCAUGCACCCUAAACCCCGCUCCUCGACGCCACAGGGUCCCCUCCGAUCCCUGCCGCUCCCUCACGCGCACCAGAACCCUGCUCCUCAGCACCACGGCAUUCCCUCCGGCACCCCAAAACCCCUCUUCUCCUCAACAUCUCACCGUCAUCCUCCAGCACCCCAAAACCCCACUCACCGCCAUAGCGCCCCCCUCCCAGCACCACCAUUCCCUCAAGCCCCCCGAAACCCCUCUCUCAGCACCUCCCCAUCACCUCCCCAACACCCCCACCCCUUCCAGCGCCCCAAAACCCACCACGCUUCCCCCUUCCCUCCGACACCCCACAACCCGCAGCACCCCAAACAACCCCCGCCCCCCCCGGCUCCCCUCAGCACCGAACCCCACGCACCCACCUGUGGGGCCGCGGGACCACCACGACCCCGGGGAGCCACCACAAGCCCCGGGGGGCCACCAUUAACCCCGGGGGGCCACCGCAAGCCCCGGGACCACCGCCGAGAGCCGCGUCAAUUAAUUACCGAGCGCUCGCACGGCGGCAGGAGCACACGAAGGGCUCGGGGAAGUGCUAAAUAUACCCGCUGCCAGCGAAACCGCCCGUGUCACAGGCCCGGGGCUGGCGAGGCAGCGGCGCUUCCCUCCCC